CUAUCAGGAUUCCCCUAGUAACUGCGAGUGAAGCGGGAAAAGCUCAAAUUUGAAAUCUGGCGGUCCUUUGCGGCCGUCCGAGUUGUAAUCUAGAGAAGUGCUACCCGCGCUGGACCGUGUACAAGUCUCCUGGAAUGGAGCGUCACAGAGGGUGAGAAUCCCGUCUUUGACACGGACUGCCAGGGCUUAUGUGGUGCGCUCUCGAAGAGUCGAGUUGUUUGGGAAUGCAGCUCUAAAUGGGUGGUAAAUUCCAUCUAAAGCUAAAUACAGGCGAGAGACCGAUAGCGAACAAGUACCGUGAGGGAAAGAUGAAAAGAACUUUGGAAAGAGAGUUAAACAGUACGUGAAAUUGCUGAAAGGGAAACGUUUGAAGUCAGUCGCGUUGGCUGGGGAUCAACCUUGCUCUUGCAGGGCGCACUCUCUGGCUCGACGGGUCAGCAUCAGUUUCGGCCGCUGGAGAAAGGCUAGGGGAAUGUGGCAUCGCUUCGGUGAUGUGUUAUAGCCCUUGGUCGUAUGCAGCGGCUGGGACUGAGGAACUCAGCCUGCCCUUAACUGGGCCGGGUCUUUUUGACCACGCUUAACGGGCUUAGGAUGCUGGCAUAAUGGCUUUAAGCGACCCGUCUUGAAACACGGACCAAGGAGUCUAACAUGCUUGCGAGUGUUUGGGUGGAAAACCCGAGCGCGUAAUGAAAGUGAAAGUUGGGAACCCUGUCGUGGGGUGCACCGACGCCCGGACCAGACCUUCUUGUGACGGCUCCGCGGUAGAGCAGGCAUGUUGGGACCCGAAAGAUGGUGAACUAUGCCUGAAUAGGGUGAAGCCAGAGGAAACUCUGGUGGAGGCUCGUAGCGAUUCUGACGUGCAAAUCGAUCGUCAAAUUUGGGUAUAGGGGCGAAAGACUAAUCGAACCAUCUAGUAGCUGGUUCCUGCGAG
rnacentral:rRNA from 1 species